CCUACGGGAGGCAGCAGUGAGGAAUAUUGGUCAAUGGCCGAGAGGCUGAACCAGCCAAGUCGCGUGAGGGAAGAAUGUCCUAUGGAUUGUAAACCUCUUUUGUCAGGGAGCAAAGUCACCCACGUUUGGGUGUUGGAGAGUACCUGAGGAAAAAGCAUCGGCUAACUCCGUGCCAGCAGCCGCGGUAAUACGGAGGAUGCGAGCGUUAUCCGGAUUUAUUGGGUUUAAAGGGUGCUUAGGGGGGUUAUCAAGUCAGCGGUAAAAUCGUGGAGCAAAACUCUAUAGAGCCGUUGAUACUGAUGAGCUUGAGUGCGCGAGAGGUAUGAGGAAUGCGUGGUGUAGCGGUGAAAUGCAUAGAUAUCACGCAGAACUCCGAUUGCGAAGGCAGCAUACCGGCGCGCGACUGACGCUGAAGCACGAAAGCGUGGGUAUCGAACAGGAUUAGAUACCCUUGUAGUC
rnacentral:rRNA from 1 species